GACAAGGAGCUCCAAUCCUGGUGGAAGGAACUCGUGGAGGAGGGACACGGCGACAAGAAGGGUGAGCCCUGGUGGCCUAAAAUGCAGACUGUGAAGGACCUAACAGAGACAUGUACGAUCACCAUCUGGAUCGCGUCUGCUCUCCAUGCGGCUGUGAACUUCGGGCAAUACCCUUAUGCAGGGUACCUCCCGAACCGCCCCACCCUCAGCCGUCGCUAUAUGCCCGAGGAAGGUACUCCCGAAUUUGAAGAGCUCAAGCAAAAUCCUGACAAGGCUUUCCUGAAAACCAUAACAGCCCAGCUUCAGACACUUCUAGGAAUUUCGCUUAUAGAGAUCCCUUUCGUCGCAUUCUACCGAUGAGGUGUAUCUUGGGCAGAGAGACACUCCGGAGUGGACAGCAGAUGCUGAGCCUUUGGAGGCGUUCGAGAGGUUCGGGAAAAAGUUGGGAGAAGUCGAGGAAAGGAUUAUGAGGAUGAAUAGGGACAAGAGGUGGAGGAACCGGGUCGGGCCAGUCGAGGUGCCCUAUAUGCUGCUUUACCCUACCAGCGAAGGCGGAGUGACUGCCAAGGGAAUUCCCAACAGCGUCUCGAUCUGAACUUGUGCACGCAUGCCUGUUCUUUUCUUGUUUGUUCGUUGUUAAUUGUUCCUCUGUUCUCGUACGAAAGCUAGUGUACGUGUGAAAUGUGAAUAACGACAAAACAAAUAUAGCAUGAAGUGUUUGUCGAGUUAUGUAGGAGUUUCAAACUUUACAUGUACAAACGAUUGUUUUAUGGAUUGGAAAAAUGUCAGGUUGUAAAAUUCAGUAUGGAACCCCAGGUUCAACCUUCAACAUGUUCCUUUUCUACUUCAAUUGCAAGAUCAUCAGCUAUAAAUGAGUUUUAUCUUCUUUUUUCUGAUCUAUAUCGAUCACAUAACUUAACCAUCUGGGCUAUAUGCUCAAUCUGAUGGUUUUUGCAGGCACAACAAUUUAAGUGAUGAUCGUUAUAGUCAUCUCCCUCUCCUAGAACCCUUGAAUCGUCGAAUUCGGCCUUUGUUUCCAAUCUUCGAAGCAGACCUAAGUUUUGGAACAUUAUGGUGAAUGAAAAGCCUUCUGUGCUGUAUGUAAUAUGGGGAAAAUUACCAAAAAAAUCAUAAAUUUAUUGCACUUUGAUUAAUUGAGUCAUAAACAUUUUAAUUGUGCAAAUUAAGUGUUAAACCUUUUCAUAUUUUGCCAAUUGAGUCCAUCCGAUCAAUUUUGAUUAGAAUAUGUUGAAGUGGACUCAAUUGGCAUAAUUAAAAUAUUUAAGACUAAAUUGGCAUCGGUAAUUUCCCAUGUAAUGUGAGUUUUGGCUUAGCGAGGCCAAAUAAGUUAUGCAACAUCUCAAAUCCUUGACCAUGUAACUUUAAGCAAAAAUAAUGCUCCAUUGGUUUUGCGGAAAUGAUUGACUUGUAAAUAUUUUUCUAAAAAUAAUUGCUUUUACUUGUAUUGUUUAAAUAAUUAGUUGAUGACAUAUGUUUUCAUCAUCAAUAACUCUUUGUGUCUAACUGUUUUCAUGAAAGAUGAUAUUAUUUCUCAAUAUUCCCAUUAUGUUGCUUGAAAUAAUUAGUCAAUGACGACAACUAUAUAUAUCUAAACAUUUUUAUAAACAAUGAAAAUAUUUCUCGUUCAUUCAUUUUUAUAAAUGAUACACAUGAUCAUUUUAAGAAAAUAUUUUUCAAAUCAUUAGGGAAAUAAAAACACCCUAAGUGAAGAAAUUAACAAGCAACGAUUUGAAUUUUAAUGCCUCGUGUUAACUCCUGAUUAGGGGAAAAACAACUUUUACACUAUGGGUAAAAAGGAAAGACAUCCCUUCUAUUCCCGUUUUUCUUCAUUAAAGCCACCAAAGCUUCUUAGAAAAUGGUACAUAUCCAUUUAUUUCCAGAAAAAUCUACUAACGAAUUUUUUUUUUCUCAUUUUUUGACUUUGGAUGCCUAAGAAAAAAGUCUAAUAGAAAGUCUUUGACUAAAUUCUAUACUCAAAUUCAAAAAAAUAAUUUUAUGUUUUAAAAAUUAGAAAUUAUUUUUCGAGAUAUAAUUAGACCUUGGUGCUUGAGAGCAGGGACCAACGUCUAUGCCCAAAUCCUUAAGGACUUGGCAAAGGUUCAUAGAGCCUGAGCAUGAGUUCCUUGUGGUCAGACUUGCGACCCUAGUCCAUGCCUAGGUUAUAGCCGGCUAUGCUUAGGUACCUAGCUUUCAUAGUCAAGUCAUUGGCAUCUGGGCACAAGCCCAUCAAGGCUCGAGUUGUGUCGAGUGUCGAUAGAGGCAAGGCCUCGGUUCUUGAGGUCCGGCUCGAGAUCCCUAUGGUCAUACUCCGAUCUUCGGAGGCCAUGCUCGAGUACAUGGCUUUCCUCCCACGUCGAAGUCACCGGUGACCACCCUCGGGUUUUUAGUUGUUAGGCUUGAGAAACCCCAACUCCGACAAUCAGAGAGGAUUGAAUUACUAAAUUCAAUUGUUAUUGUUAUAUUAUUUUGGUGCUCCAUAGAGCGACUUAUGGAGAGUUGACAGGUGGAUAUUUUAUGGUUAAUCACCUCGCUUCCCUUUGCUUUAAUUUUUUUUUCCAUCUUCCUGCUUAUGUCCAAGAUAUAACUUUUUAUCAAUAAUAGAAACACACUAUAAAUAAUGCAAGUAUCUUGACAUCACCAAAAUGAUCACCACGCAAUCAAAUUCUCAAGACAACAACACAUGAAUAUAUAUUUUAUUUUUAAUAUUUGAUAUUUAAAUAUAAACGAAAAAAAAGAGACAUUCAGAAUAAUUGUAGCCAGGCACUUGUUGGUCGUUUAGUGAAGGACUUUGUUCUUCUUUGCUUGGUUUGGAGUUCUUGGAAUACUCAAUAAACGCGGCGUUAAAUUAGUUUCAUUGACUUGACUUUCGAAAUUCAGACGAGCUUCGUCGAGGCAGAAUCUCACCGGCCCGCGAUUACCAGACUCCCAAAUCCAUGCGUAGUCUUUAAUGUCUGAUUUUGAUCAAUUAUGUUUCAUUGGCGUAGGAUCGAUUUUAAUGAUGCUAGCUCGAGGUGACCUGUUGAACCCGUAAAGAUACACAAAUCUAUAAGCUACUACCAAACUUUGAAUACAUAUAUCAAUGAAUCAUUGCGGCGACAAAUAAAUCAAACUUUUUGGAGAAGUUUGCUAAUGUUACUUUGACUAGUAUUUCCAAAUUAAUGCAUUUGCGAAAGUAAUGGUGUGAUCACCUAUAUGUAUAUGUAAUCUCAAAGUUACAGUCUGUUAUUACUUAGGGCAAAUAUAUAUGUUGAUGCAAAUUAAAGACGUUAGUACGGAAGGCAUUGUAAAAACCAAAAACCUUACUUCGUGGGAUGUGGAAUUUGUGUCCUUUAUCACUAUUAUUAGUAUUAUUUUGUCAAGAGGCAAUAAUACCUCGAGCAUCUUAACUUUGGCUUGUUUUAUAAUCGAGUAUCCAAAUCUUCUUUUUUGUUCGGUCGAGUACCUCAAGUUCUCAAAUGUGGAUCAAUGUGAAACCAUAGUUAAAAUUGUAGAGAAAAAAAAAAUGCAAAAAUGGAUACUAACACCGAUAAAGCCUUUAACUCCCACAUUCGCGUCUGAUAUGAUCUCUUUACGUGAUGUCACGUUAAUAGUCAUAUUGAACAGGCAAAAUCAAAAUUGUACAAAUCAACAUUCUCUCUCUCUCUCUCUCUCUCUCUCUCUCUCUCAUGCAUGUGCACACACAUCACCUACACCUAAGUGGUGGUCGUUAGCCAAAACUGGCUGGAAGGACUACAUUGGCAAAUUUUCAAAAAGUUUAGAACAAAAGUAGCAAAUUGAAAAUUUUUGAUUGAAUUGGCAUCUAAAUAUAAGGUUUGAGACCUUUGUUUAAAAAAAAAAAAAAUCUCCUGUACAUUGGCGGAGAAUCCGAGUGUGAUAUCAUAUCUGUUCGUUUGAAGUGUCAACAUUUGAUGCACAUGCCGUAUCAAGCUGGGUAACGACAUGGAAAUCAAAGUCUGUGCAUCUUAUCUCGAAAGAUUUCGAUCGGCUAACGACAAAUUCCCCCGUUACCAUCCCACAAGGUAAAUGAACCAACCGCGUGGCGGCGGCAAGUCGAUGAUCUCACCUCAAGGAACGGCCGCCGAGGUGCCCAUAGCAGCACCUCACAUUUGGCUUCUGUAGGAAGAAGAAUCAAAGCACUUAUUAUUCGGUGUACCUAUUCUCUCCAUUAUAAUAAUAAUAAUAAUCUAAUUUUCACGCACUUAGUAUAAUAUGCACGCAUACACGAAGACGUCGACAGGACCGCAUGCACAUACGUAAGAUCUUCAUUUAUUUAUUCAUGGGUUCCCCCGUUGUCUUUUCCUUUUUCCUUUUCUUUUUUCCAUUUUUGUAGACCUUGGCAAUUAGCAGCCCCUUCUGAAGAAGCCCUCUAUUCAAGGGGAAGAAAAGGUCGUCUCGACUCCCCCCAAUCACUGAGGUUCCCACCAAAAUGUCCAUGAAUUCAGGUUUUAAAUUCAAAGAGAUGAUCUCAGGUUCCAGCUCCUAACAAUCACCCUAAGGGUGCGUUUGUUUGCGUUUCUGUUUAAAAAUUGUUAUAGGAAACAGAAAUAGAAAAAAAUGUUUCUAUUCCGGGGAACAAUUUUUGAACAAAAAAACGCGUUUGGUAAACUUGUUCCGGGAAUAAAAAAUAAACAGAAACACAUUUGGUAAAUUUGUAUAAUUUUUUUAUUUCUUUUAUUUUUUAAUAUUUUUAUUCCGUGGCUAGGCGAGGCCGCCGGCCCUCAUCGGCCGGUCGCCGGUGACCGGCCAAAAGAAGAAAAAAGAAAAAAAAAGAAAAAAAGAAGAAGAAAAUAAAAAAAAAGUGUUUCUAAGUUUUGUUUCAGAAAUAAGAAACACAAAUUUGUUGUUUCUUAUUUCUGUUUCUUUUUUGUUUCUGAGAACAAAAAAACAGAAAAAGUGUUCAAAAACAAAAAAAAGAAAUACAAACAAACAGGCCCUUAUUAACUCUUUUUUGAACUUAUCUCGUGGGAUCAGACUGGUUUUCAUUAUAAUGGCAACAAGAGCAUGUGCGAGUGCGUGAUGCCCGGGUGUAUCUUGGCCAUUUAUGGGAAUGGAAGUCAAAAUUAGGUCACUUGCAUGAAAAAGCUGGAGUUGCUUCUAUAGUUGGCUAGUGAAAGCGCACACAAUGGAAAAGUCUAUCAAGUAAUUAACCCUGAUUAGUCUGUACAGCACAGCAAUUGGAGUUAGACGUAUCGUCGGUCUUUAAUUUUCCACAUGCAUCGUAAUGGGGGCACGGAUAAGGAGCUCACCUAGUGGAGAGGGGUGCGCAGGCUAAAUUCGGAGCAUUAAACUAAACAUUCUUCGGUGGGUCAUUUAUAGUUUGCCGAUGCUAGACGCCCUUUCUUUUUUGGUGUAAAAUGAAAGAAAAAGUAAAACUUAUUAGAAACAAUGAUUAUCAAGUUGGAAUGUAAAAAACAUGUUCAAUGUUUUGUAACAGUGAUUUAAUAUUUACUUCUUUUUGUUACUAAUUUACUAAUAACUUGGCAUCUCUUCUUUCGUUAAAAAGGAUUGUGAUAGUUGCGGACGGUGAAUUUUGCAUUACAUAGAUUUUUUUUGUUUUUCUCACAUGCAUCCUUUGUGUCUAUGUAGUAUUAGACUUGUCAAAAUGGUUCAUUAACUCAUUUUUUGUAACUCACAUUUGAUGGGUUCAGUAGUUGUAUUGGGUUAGUUAUUUCAAUAAAUGAGUUAAAAAUGGUACAACCCAAAAUAAUAUGGAUGUUAAAUGGGUUCAUAAAUUACUUAGACCAACCCACAUUUAUGGCUCUAUCUUCACUUUCUUUGAUCUCUACUUAAUCUUGCACUCGGUCACUCCAUGUUCUCACCUCAAUUUAAUUAUGAGUUCUACUGAAUUUUUAACAAUAUGGAUCGGGUCAUGUAUGGGGACCGAUCGGGUUGGAUAUGUGUUGCUAGAUUUGUAUUCUAUAUAAAAAGGGUCAAUUUGGGUUGAACUAUUUUUGAAUUGAUCCAAACCUGACCUAAUCCACUUGCUUGGUAAAAGUCCAUCGCAUGAUCUUGAGAGAUUCAUUAUUCCUCACCCAGUUGCCUUCGGCAUUCAUUAGCAUGGUAAUACGGUUCCUAUUUCUCCGUUGUAUAGUGGUGGCAUGAAAUUUUUUUGUAUUCCUGUCUCCCCAUUUGAGACACUUAAUUCUCGAUCUUAUACCCAAAAACAUUUAUUCUUGUCGCCAUAGGGAUUCGAUUUCUUUGUGGAUAUUUUGAAUCCUGUAAUGAUCAUACUGCAAGGUGGGGUUGUUCAUCCGAAACUGAAACUCAUUUUUCAGCCCUUUGAUUUUCUUAUAUGAGUUGGGGAAUCGUUUUUUACUCCACGCCGCUAGUUUAGUAGCCAUAGUUUUCAAUUUUUCAACCAAAUUUUUCAGAUAGGAAUCCUCCCAUGUUUGCUUGACUAUUCUCCUACGAUCUUCGUCUUCCGCCAAAAAUGGCUCAUAUUUGAACUCUCGGUGUUUAUGUGUUGUAGUGGGUAUAGUUGACAAGAUGAGCGGACUAUGAUCAUAGCUAAUAGCUGGUAAGGCUAUAACUUCAGCAUUUGGAUAAUCUAUUCUCCAUUCCAUGGCUUCGGCGGACUUUGAACGGCAAGAAAAGAAGACCUGCAAAUAUUUUCUUUUUAUACGUGUGCCCUAAAGGUCAAAUUUGACCUGUGGCCCACCUCAAAUUAGCUUCACGUGGGAGAGAGAUGCUGCUUCUUUCUUCGACGUGGAGUCUGUGUGCGCGCGCGCCCAGAGUCAACACUUUGACUCAGGCCCUCAGAUUCCUUUUUAAACUCUAUGUGCAGACUCCUUAUUUCCUUUAAUAUAUAUAUAAAGUGUGCACAAAGUCUUGUUUGCACAUCCGAAAUGGAGAAUCCAAGAAGGAAAUUGUUUCUUCCUUUUUCAUCCGAUUUAUAAUCCACUUGGAAAAAACUUUAUUGAUAAAUUCGGUUUAAUAAAACGUUAUCCGAAUCCAAACUCGAGAUAUUAAUUUAACACACCCCAAAUCAAGUCGUUGCACGUGUCGAUGUAGUCUCGAGUUCGACCCGCUUUGUGUCGAGGUUACGGAAUCCACAUUUUGGCGAAACCUCUAAAGAAUUUGAAAAAAAAAUGCGAGUUAGCUCAAACGUCCCCCAAAAGCUUAGGUCAUGCGUGUGAUCUGCGAGAUUGCUAUCUUUUUUUUUUUUUUUUUACUUUUUUGUGGGGCGAAUCGGAUGUAUUCAUAUUCAAUCUGGUAGUUCGAUUUUCUUGCACUGACAAAAGAAGAUGCUUUGGUACAAUGCCUACUCGUGGGAGACGCCAAGGAAGCGAUCGAUUCUGGGGCUCAGCAUUAGAUUAUUGCUACCAUCAAUUUUUCAUGGUACCUAAAGUCAAAUUGAUUGAAAAAAUAUUUAAUUUAACUUAAUCUAUGUAUAGUACAUAAAUGGCCCCCACCCAAAAAAAAAUAAAAUCUAUUGUACAGUUCUGUAGCUGUCCUAAUGAGAUACCUUGCACUUGGUAUUAUCUAUUUUGAUUACCGACUAAAUUGCGCCUUUGUUGGUCAAAGUUGUUAUAUAAAAUAUGUUUAUUCAAAUCAUAUGGGGCUAAUUCGAUUGGUUAGAAUGUUUUGUUGCCCGAAAAUUAAAUUAGAAUGUUUGCAAGGAAUUCCUUUCUUUAUUGUUUCGUGUACGCUAUAUUAAUUGAUUUGAUUGGUGUGCGAACUAAAUUAGUAGAGGGUCACGAAUCACGUGGUCAACAAAUAGCAUGCACGUGUGCAUCGUUUAUUGAUCCUUAUUUGUGGAGAAAUUCGACAUGACUUGUCUAACUUAUAUACGUUACGUUUAAUCAUAAACUAAACAUAAUUCAUUGUUUUUUUUUUGUCAUUGUGACUCUAGAAAAAAAAAUACCUACCCUUAAAUUUUAAAAUAGAUUUAGCUGUGAUGUUUUUAUCUUUCUUUUAUAGAUUUGAUUAGAUUUUUUUCUCAUACAUAUACAUAUAUACUUGUGUAUGUGGAUAAAAAAGACAAGACGAGAGAUAUAACUCUUGCAUUGAAACUUGGAAACAUUUCAAAAAAAGACCUGAAGUGCCAUUAUUUUCUCAAAUAAGAACCCGAAGUGAAUAUUAUUUCACAUAAUGACUUGAAGUGACAUUAGUUGUUUCAAAUAAGGGCAUCAUCUUGCCGGUUGCCAACCAACUAAGUUUUCCGAACGGUGAAAGGUAAUUUCGUCAUUUUUCACUUUCUCCUUUUUUUUUUUCUUUUUUUUUUCUUCUAGUUCUUCUUCUUCUUUUUCUUCCUCUUCACCAGCAGCUAGCUAGCCAUUGGUGAUGCCCACAAAGGGUUGGGCGAACGUUGCCCUCGCUGGCAAAGGCCAUCCAUGCCGGCCACAGGCAAGGGACAGCUUUGCUUGGGUGAGGCGACCCUCGCCCUAGGGCCAUCUGCAAGGUCGGCCCUUGGCGGCCCCAAGCGAGACCAACCCUCGCUAGAUCUGUGAGGGUGGCCUCACCCGUGGUCGGUGAGGGUUGGGCAACUUCGCUAGCUGGUGGUAAGGGCCAACGAGGACCUGCAAGCUCUCACCUGGGGUAAGUGAGGCUAAUCCUUUCUAGACCAGCGGUCGACGAGGACCUACAAGCCCUUGUUGGUGGUAGGUGAAGCCAUCCUCACGAGAUCUGGUGAGGGUUGACCUCGCCUGCCCUAGGCGAGGGCACGACCACCCUCGCUAGUGGGCGACGAACGAUGAGGUUGCCUAGCCCUCGCCUAUUGCGGGCGAGGCCACCUUUGCCAGAUCUGGAGAGGGUUGGCCUCACUUGGGGCUACCAAGGGCUAACCUCGUAGAUGGCCCUAGGGUGAGGGUCACCUUGCCCAAGGGAGGCCGUCCCUCACUUGUAGCCGGUGUGGGUUGUCCUUGCUAGCGAGGACGACCCUUGCCCAACCCUCUGUGGGCAUCGCCAGUGGGUGGCCGAUUGGCUAGUGGCAAAGGGGGUGAAGAAGAACAAAAAUUAAAAAGGAAAUAAAAAAAGGAAAAUAGCAAAUAACGAAAAUGCUCCUCAUUGCCGAAAAUUCAAGUGCUUAUUUGAAAUGGACAUAGUUACUUCAUGCCCUUAUUUAAAAUAGACAUAAUCGUUUUAGGUCCUCAUUUGAUACAAGAUCCACUCCAGGCACUUAUUUAAGAAAGUGAUGACACUUCAUGUCCUUAUUUAAAAUAAGGUCCAUUUCGGGCACUUAUUUAAGAAAAUGAGAACACUUGGAGUCCAUUUUUGAGAUUUUCCCUUAAAACUUUGAUUUGUUGAAAAGUUCAUUAUGAUAUUAGAUAAUGAAAUCUUCCUUUACCUUACAAUUAUAUUUUCUCGCCCUUCAACCCCGGUCAGAUCCCAAUCUAACCAUUUGAUCAAGGCAUCGUAUAAUAUCUAAAUCUUACCCAAAAAAAAAAAGAAGAAGAGAAAAAGGAAUCAUAAUGGAUCCAUUAAAUACAUGAGAUUGGCUGUGCAUGUGCUAGAGAUUGUGUGCAUGCAUGUAUUUAGGAAAAGAAAAAGAAGAAGAAAUAAUUACAUAGAUGAGAGGAACACAUGGAAUAGAUGAUUUGGCAUUCUAUCCCUCUUCCUAAAAAAGUAAGUUAAAUGUAAGAAUUUUGCGAGAGGUCGCUCGAUGUAUGAUAUCACGUUAUGUGAUCAACGAAUUGUCUAAUCGGCUAUCGUUCAAAUGGAUACAUCUGGACAGAAGAGACAACUCGAGACGGAAGAUAAGAUGACCUUUUACCAAAGGUGAGCAUUGGUAUCAUUUGUCAAGCUUUCAAGCCUUUUGUCAUAUCGGAUAAUCUCGACGUGUCAAGAACGAAAGUAAUUGAGGCAAGAUAGCCCGAGGAUUAAGGCAACGCCCCUAGAUUCAAAGCAAGCCGCGUGCAAAUCACUUCAUUAAUCCCUUAAUCAUCACCAAAUCUUCGCGGGUCGUCUUCCCUAAAUGGGUCUUGGAUAACCAUCGUUGAAUCAGCGCGUAAAUGAACGCACCACCUCCACAAGAUUUGGUCUAUCAAUUCAACCAAAACCAACUCAAUUUCUCUCCUCAUUUAAGAAAAGAAGAAGGUAAAAAAUCUAUAAAAAAAAAGUAUUAUUUAACGAGUGCCUAAGAUACUAAUCAUUCAAUUAGAUGAGAAAACUUAGGUUUUCAAAAUUAUAAGGCUACGUUUGGUCGUCUAAGAAUUUUAUCAAGAUAGGACUUGAUAGAAUACAAUAUAAUUUAGGGAUUUUGCUAUAUUUUAUCUACUGUUUAGUGAGUUGCAGUAAUAAAUCCAGAUAUUUUUAUAUCAUAUUUUGUCCAUUGUUUGAUAUGAGCAACAUAUCGAUAUAAAUGAAUUUGAAAAUGUACAAAUGAAAAUAGUAAGAAUUUCUCAUGAGUCACUACUAAAGAAAUCACAAGUGCAAAAACGGAGAUGACCUUUAUCAAUCAAUUCAUAAUUACUGUAUCAUCUACAUUAUGAUCUACAUCUUAAACAAAGAAAAGAGCUCAUUGCAGCAUUCUAGAGCCACAUGUUUAACAGUGACAAGAAAUGUAAAUGGACUACAACAACAUUGAGAAUGCAAGUUUUUAGGUGCCGAGAAUUACUUUUUGUAUAGUUCUGUUGGUUAAAAGUCAAUAUACAUCUCAUCUUACCCAAAAAAAAAAAAAACUAAACCUGGUAUAUGAUAUAUCCUAUCCCAACUACCAAAUGUAGGCUAUUUUCUUUUGCUUAUAGAUAAAAUAUUUCCUAUUGAGUAUACAUGAAAAUACGUCGUUGAGAUCGAGGGAAAGGAAAAUAGGAGAAAGGAAAGAAAUUCCAGGUCUCCCAUAAAGAAGGGAAGCUUCUCGGUGAUGCCGUAGCGUCGGACUUUUCCUUAUAAAUACCCUCCAUCGCAACGCAUACGCUUCUUCAUUCUUUUCACAUACCCGUCCUUCUUUUCCUUUCAUCCGAUCAGCUUCGCAACAAAGGUUUCAAUCAAUUCUCCGGAAUGGAUAAGCUGUUUCAUGGGAUGCUGCACGCCUUCGGCCGUGGUGACAAGGCAGGCCACCGGCGCAAGGCGGGCAGGUCCAAGAAGGUCAAGGGGACCGUGGUGCUGAUGAAGAAGUACGUCUUGGACUUCAACGACUUCAACGCGUCGGUCCUUGACAACGUCGACGAGCUGCUGGGUAAGAAGGUCUCUCUGCGACUCGUGAGCGUCGUCCACGGUGAUCCCGGUGAGUCAUGACCCUCCUCCACGCUAUCUUCUUGUCGUUCAUUUCUGGAACAAGUUCUUUCAAUGGCUUUUCUUGGUACUAGACUGUGCUGUACAUUUCUGUUGACAAAAUCUGAUGAAUGGCAACAAAUUAAACUGGUUGUCAUCAUGACAAGCGAUCUUCUUCCCCAAAAAGAAUAGGAAAUAAUAAGUAUUUCACAUAACUUGCAUGUCUCAACUUUUUGCUUAGAUUUCAAGAAAGUGUAACAUAUGCAUCUUCGCUUUACUUGCAGUGUGUUAUUGACAAGAGUAUGGUAGUGCAAUUUGUGUUUUAAGCUUUUUGGUUCUGUUGCACGGUACUCUUGCGUUGGAUUCAAGAUUCGGAAAUUGGCCGUGCAUGCGAUACAGUCAACCUGAUCUAUCGCAGUCCCUACUGAAUUUAUCUUCUGAAGUUUGAUCUUUUCUGUGCAACUUUAGAGAACAUGUGUAAUCUUGAUGGACUUAGAAAAAAAUUGCAUAUAUUUUUUCCUAAAUUAUGAUAGGUCAAACUUAGUUACCGCAUGUUUGUUGAUAGGACGACUCUAUUAUGCACACGUUUAUAGACAUAGAUAAACAGUAUGUACCCACAUAUUUUUCGACAAUUUUUCAAAUUUAAAUAGAUGGAUCAUAGUAAGUUUAGAGUAUCAUUAAAUCUUGCAGUUUCACGACCUCCCCGGUGGAGGCCAAAGUUCGAAUCCCCUGCAAAGCAGGGAGGCAGUCUUAGCUACUACAUGGUGACUUAAGCGUGACGUCGGGGUGGUGGUUUCCCCGCUAGCGUCGCCGGGAGGUUUACGGCACACUGCCGGUGCAAGCUGGUUCCUCCUGUUCAAAAAAAAAAUAAAAAAAAUAGAUGGAUCAUAGUAAGCUUAAUCAUUAAAUCUUGCAGUUUCACGUGACAGAAAUUUGAGUACAUUUCGGUGUUUGCACUAUAAUUAGGAUUCUCUUAUAAAUGAGAGGCUUUCUAAACCAAACUUAUAAUUUAAAGGAAAAAAUUAUNNNNNNNNNNNNNNNNNNNNNNNNNNNNNNNNNNNNNNNNNNNNNNNNNNNNNNNNNNNNNNNNNNNNNNNNNNNNNNNNNNNNNNNNNNNNNNNNNNNNUUUUUUUAAGUUUUUUAAGUUUUUUAAAUAUUAUUUUUUAAAAUAUUUUAACUAAAUUUAAUUUUUAAUUUAAUUUAAUUUAAUUAUUUAUUUAUUUUGUUCCACGUCAGCCAAAACGACGCCGUUUUGGCCACGUCAACGUGCAAAACGGCGCCGUUUUGGCCGCGCUUCGCCGGAAAAAAGCCACGUUGGUGUUUUGGCCGGAUUUUGGCUGGAUUGGCACUCAAGUGAUCUUUUUUACUCCGAUUUUGGCACUUAAGUGUACCUUUCAUAAGUUAUGGCACUUAAGUGUCCCUUUGGGCAAAGUUAAGGUACUUGAGGGGUCCGCACGUCAUAUAGCAGCAUUUGUAAGCUCGAGUAAAUAUGUAUUUUUUUUUUCAUGUUUUGGUAGAAGCAAAUGAAAUUAAGGUUUCGUUUAUUUCGCAAAAAUGAUUAUAUUUUUCGGUAUUUGGUUGAAACUUAAAAAUGUGCUAGAAAAUAUUUUCUACAGUUUGGUAUGGAUUACACUCUUUUUAAUGAUAUUUUCUUUCUCUUUGUUUUUUAUUUUCUUUUGUGAAAAAUAAAAUUUUAAUUAUUUUUAUUUUAUUCUUUUUCCUUCUUCUUUGGCCAAUUGCUGGCCACGACAAUUGGCCUUAGUCGAACUCAAGCCUUGCCACAUUCUGACGAGUUCAAGUCUUGCUAGAUCGACAAGGAUUGAGGUUGGUCUUGCUAUAUUGCUCGUGGCCCUCCAGCGAGCUUGUUACUCACUUGUGAUCGAUUGUUGGCCAUCGUCAUGGCCAGCUGAGGAAGAAGCAAUAAGAAAAGGAAAGAAAAGAACAAAGAAAUAAAAAGUCAAAAUUUUUAAAAAUAAAAAAAGUUAGAUAUUCAAAUUUUUAAAAAUUAAAAUAAAUUAAAAUUCAAUUAUAGAAAAAAAAUAUUUUUAUAAGAACGAACGUUUCAUUAAUCAAGAACCCAAGCUUGAACGCCAACAACUCAUGCACGGCCUUUGUGGAGCCAAGCUUGAGUGGUAGGGACUAGAGCUCAAGCGUCGAGGGCCGAGAAUGAUCAUUAUGGAUGUAGGGUCAAGUGCCGGGGAACAAGGGGUUUGGGCUCGAGUGCUAGGGGCCUGGGCCUAGAAACGAGGUCUUGAGCCUAGCCUCAAUGGACAUUGGUUCAGUCUCGUGCUCAAGCAUUAGAGACCUGGUCCUUGCCUUGAUGGACACAGGCUCGGCAUUGAUGGACCUAGCUUGGGUAUUGGAGACUUGGGAACUAGAAAUGCUAUAUAUUUUUUGCGAAACAAAUAGGGUAUUUUAAACAAUCAAUCAAAGGUUUCCUCUAGUCAAUAGCCCAAUCUCAAGUUCUUUCUAAGUUUUUUUUUUGAAAGAAAAUUAUAUUUAUUACCCAAAAUGAUAGAGAAGUACAUAGCUUUCAUGAUAAAGUAAAGCGAAAGAUAGCAUGAAUCUUAAAAACAAAGCCAAAUCUAGAAAAAUAAGGAGGAUCAACGAAGCACCAGCAAAAAUCAAGCACAAACUUGUUCCACAAAAACGGAUUUGUCAAACAAAAUUGGUGUCGCAAAUUUCUUUUCCAUUAAUUACAAUGUUGCUAAUUGGAGGUGUGUGCCUAGGUUUUGCUUCCUCUACACCAUCAUCAUAUGGAAACAACUAGAACAGGUUAAACAAACACAGGUAUAAUACGUGGAGGAGCAAAUUUUCGUAAUUCAACGAGACACGAAAACUGCUGCAUUCGUCAUUAAGGUUGGAGACAAAGAACCUAUACAAGAAUAUAGCAAAGAGGCAUAUGAUCCCCGAAGGCAUAUUUAUUAAGCUCCCAGACCUAGAUCGGGAGAGGAUAUCAUCCAAAGCUCAAGUUCUCUAUCUUCUUUUUUCUUUUUAAUUGUUUCUAACUAAACGAAUUUCCUAUUAUUGACCGAACACAUUUCUUGAAUUUAAAGUUUUUUUUUCUUGCAUGACUAUGUUUCUUGACUACAUAACGGAUUGGGGGUGUGCAUGGUCCGGGCAGGUGGUUCCUAACCUAGAACCAAGGACCGCCUGCUAAGAACUGGUUUCGAAAAAUUGGAACUGGGAACCGCCCGCUAGUUGCAUGGAUCCACCCGGGAACUGGAUUGUCAAUCUGGUUCGGUUUCCGGGUGGAUCCAUAGAACCGGUCAAACCUUCGCGCCUUCCUCUUUUCGUCCUCCCCACAUCUGCUUAUUUUGGCUCUCCCGACCAUGGUAGCUUUAUUUUCCUCAAGUACUAGCGCUGCGGUAGUGUUCAUGACGGUGGUGGUCGUGACCUUCGCUCCGCUUCUGUCCCGGCCUCCACCACCAUCUUCACCACCGCCUCUGCCAUCUUUAACUCCUCCUUCAAGACCGACAAUGAGGAGGAUAAUAGGGACGAUGAGCCGUUCUUAGACCUAAAGUUCACCCGUCCCCGAAGAUGAGGAUGAUGGGGAGAAACUUGAGGAGGGGGAGGAGGAAGAGGGGAGGUAGAAUCGGGACGAGCCCAACAACGAAGAGGACGAUAGUGACAGUGAAUGCAGAGGUAGCAAUGAUGUGGAGAGAGAGUUCAAGUUUAAGGGAGGAAAAGAGAAUCAACUCACUAUUUCGCUGAGUUCAGACUAGGACUUGAAGGGAGAUGAAAAGAUCCAGAGGUGAAUCGGAGAGAAAGAGGGAGCUUGGGGAGAUUUUGAACUAAGAGAGACGAUAUGAAGUAGGAGAGUGGUAAAUUGAGACAAGAUGGUGAUUAGAGCCCAAAAUUUUAAAUUUGCUAAUUUCGAAUUUUUUUAAUAUUGAAAUUUAAUAUAUUAUUAUAAUAAUAUAACUGGUUUGGUCCGGAUGGACAGGUGGACGGAUCCGCCCAUGGAAUCCGGAACCAGACUGGUAUUCACUGGUUCCCAUAAAUUGGAAUCGGGAACCGGACCGGUUCCCUUAAGAAUCACUUGUUCCAAGCAGUUUCGGUCCGGUUCCAGGCAGUUCGGGUGGGUCCCGGUUAUUUUGCACACCCCAAGUAAUGGAGCUACAACCUCGCUGUGGGUAAAUUUGGCAUUCGUUUAUGGAUGGUUGAAUAAGGGUUUUGAUCGAGAGGUGAGGUUUGCAUUGCCUCAAGCAUGAAUUGAAUAUGAUGGCCAUUGCCAUCAAGGACGAUGCAAGAGUGCUCAGAUACUGUUAAUUCGGAAAAGAGAAUUAGUUGAAAGAGUUCUCUUUCAGAUCGUCUAUGCGAUCCAUAGAAUGGCUCUUCGCCUAGCGUGCACUGCAACGAGAAAAGACAUCAUCGUAAAACACGAAGUGAUUUUCCUCACGUCAUGUCCUAGGACCACACGACCCAAUUAACCAAUGGUGCAUGGCAUUAGCAAUUAUUGUAGUUAAUUUCUGGUUAUUGGCCAAUAAUAUAAUUAUAUAAGCUGUCAUUUGUCACUUAUUAUUGGAAAUUUGUGCCGCAUUCCGCAAGGAUGUGCUUUCUAAAAUCACUUCAUUGAGCACAAGUUCGGGUCCUAGUCCUUUCCUUUUGGUUUUCAGCACAAGAUCAGGUUCUUGUUUGUUGAAACGGAUCCAUUCUUGCGACAGCAAAAAGAUUAUGGAUAACAUAAUAUCAGUGGGAAUGAACUAAAAAUUGGAAACAAAAUGCAAAUGACUCUGCGCAGAUCAUUGAUCAGAUCGAGACCCUUUGCCAUGUUAAAGAUGAACGUCAGUCUCAUUCGCUGGGACACAAAGUUCGAAAGCUUUGAAACCUUUAAUUUCUUUUUCGUGCUUUGCAGAAAACUGUUUGCGGGGGAAAUUGGGAAAGCCUGCACAUCUGGAAGGAUGGAUCACUACCAUCACUCCCUUAACGACAGGGGACUCGGCGUUCAAGGUCACUUUCAAUUGGGACAAGGAGGUGGGAGUUCCAGGGGCGAUCAUCGUACAAAAUAACCAUCACAGUCAGUUUUACCUCAAGACGAUCACACUCGAAGAUGUGCCCGGUGAGGGCCGAGUCCACUUCGUCUGCAACUCGUGGGUCUACCCUGCCAACCAGUACAAGAAGGACCGGGUCUUCUUCUCUAACAAGGUUCGAUCACAAUAAUUUUAUUGAUGGAGCUAAGCUAUAGCCGCCAUGUAUGAUUUGCUUCCAGAGUCUCAUUAGGACAAAAUAAAAGACAUUGCCUCCGAUAUGAAGACUUAAAUCUUGUUCUACAUAGAGUUGUCCUAAAGGAUUAGCCGAUUGGUCAGAAAGGAGUGACUUUUCAAGCGGUCCUAGCUUCCCGAAAACAUAAUUUGGGUAGCAGAAUCUCACUCCUAGGAAUUUUCCAGGUUGCACUCUACUUUUAACCAGUUUCAGCAUCUGAGCUUUCCGAUUUCGCCGAAGUGCGGCAUUUCACUUAGGAAUUGCACUUAAUAUUGGCUGAACGCAUUCAGUUUCGGACUCUGUUCUAUUCUGUCACAUGAAAUAGCAAUUUGAUUGGACGGUGUUCCUUAGGUUGUCUAAUAAGAUAGCACGUUUUUGCAGACGUAUCUUCCAAGCCAAACUCCAGCGCCUCUAGUGAAGUACCGAGAGGAAGAGUUAGUUAACUUGAGAGGAGACGGAACGGGAGAGCUUCAGGAGUGGGACAGGGUGUACGACUAUGCUUACUACAAUGAUUUGGGUGAUCCAGACAAGGGCUCGAAGUAUGCCCGCCCUGUACUAGGAGGAUCUUCUGAAUAUCCCUAUCCUCGCAGAGGAAGGACCGGUCGACCUCCGACUGAGACAGGUUAGAUAAUGCACUCAUAUCACGAAUCUCCAAUUUGAUGUGAGAUUAUUAUGGCUUCUUUUUUUUUUAUUUUUGACAAAGAUGCUUCAUUUGUAAGUAUAUUUUACUGAAUUUUCAUGAUGUUAUCGACAGAUCCAAAUACUGAGAGCAGGCUGCCUCUGCUCAUGAGCCUAAACACAUACGUUCCAAGGGACGAACGGUUUGGUCACUUAAAGAUGUCUGACUUCCUUGCUUAUGCUCUAAAAGCCGUGGGUCAAUUUCUGAAGCCCGAGCUAGAGAGUAUAUUCGACAGCACGCCCAAUGAGUUUGACUCCUUCCAGGAUGUGCUCAAUCUCUAUGAGGGCGGUAUUAAGCUUCCCAAUUGCCCUUUGCUGGAGAGUCUGAAGGAGAACAUUCCCCUCGAGAUGCUUAAGAUACUCUUUCGGACAGAUGGGGAAGGGCUUCUCGAGUACCCCAUGCCUCAGGUGAUCAAAGGUAAUGGAUACAUAUAUGUAUGGGACCUUUUUCAUCUGAUUAGUUCGAGGCUGUUUUCCUAACGUUUAGCAAUCAUCCUGUGCAGAGGAUAAGAUUGCCUGGAGGACCGAUGUAGAAUUCGGUAGAGAAAUGCUCGCUGGAGUCAACCCUGUCGUGAUUCGCUGUCUCCAGGUAAAUAACAAUAUCUUUCACGUUACAGCUCGAACAAAUUCAGUUAAUAUUAAAAUGAGGUGCGGAAUGGAGUUCCACCAAUUGUCUAGUUGAUUGAACAUUUUUUGUUGAUUUCAGGAAUUCCCUCCGGCAAGCAAGCUAGACCCUAAUAUAUAUGGCAACCAGAGCAGUUCAAUAAGGGAAGAGCUCAUUCAGGAGCAACUGAAUGGAUUAACUGUCCAACAGGUACCUUUCAUUGCAUCUCACAUCACUAAGAGCGUCCAUAUACUUGCUUAUAAGAUGAUGGCGAUUUCAUUUAAGUUAUAAUAUCCAAAUUGAAACGAUGCAUAACAAAUGCAGGCUAUCAAGAUGAACAAAUUAUUCAUACUGGAUCACCAUGAUUCGAUCAUGCCAUAUCUGAGGCGGAUAAACACAACUACCACUAAAACGUAUGCUACUCGAACACUCCUCUUCUUGAAGGAUGAUGGUACCUUGAAGCCGCUGGCAAUAGAGCUUAGCAUGCCGCAUCCUGAGGGAGACGAGUUUGGUGCGAUGAGCAAGGUGUACACGCCGGCCGAUCAAGGCGUCGAAGGUUCCAUCUGGCAACUGGCUAAAGCUUAUGUGGCAGUUAAUGACGCAGGCUAUCACCAACUCAGCAGCCACUGGUAAAGAUCUCAGAGGAGCAUUCACCUAUAUAAAGAAGGGAAAUUUUUAUUUAUUUAUUUCCUGCAUAUUGAUAAUUUUCUUUAUUCUUACCACAGGUUGAAUACUCACGCGGCGAUUGAACCAUUUGUGAUUGCAACAAAUAGACAAUUGAGUGUGCUUCACCCCAUCUACAAACUUUUGCAUCCCCAUUUCCGUGACACGAUGGAGAUAAAUGCAAUCGCCAGGCAGAUUGUGAUCAAUGCGGGUGGAAUCCUGGAGACGACUGUAUUCCCAGCGAAGUACUCCAUGGAGAUGUCUUCCGCCAUCUACAAGAACUGGAUUUUCCCCGAGCAAGCGCUUCCUGCUGACCUCAUCAAGCGGUAAAUUCACUGUUCUAUACAUAUAAAUCAUCCAUAGGACUUCUAUUUAAAAUUGCUUCAAAAAGAAAGAAAAAUCAAGGCCUAUGAAGAUUGCACAAAUGUACUUGGAAUAGCCAAGGCUCGUGCUGAGAUACAUAUCAACAUAGCUAUCCUUUGUUUUACUUGAAUUAUUCUGAUAGACUGAGUGUGACGAAAAUAUUCUACCUUUUCUUGUCUUCAGGGGAGUUGCUGUGGAAGAUGCGAACUCCCCGCAUGGCCUCCACCUAUUGAUUAAGGACUACCCCUACGCGGUAGAUGGGCUCGAGAUCUGGUCCGCGAUCAAGACGUGGGUUGAGGACUACUGCUCCUUUUAUUACAAGAGUGACGAGACGGUACAGAAGGAUGAGGAACUCCAAUCCUGGUGGAGGGAACUCGUGGAGGAGGGACACGGCGACAAGAAGGGUGAGCCCUGGUGGCCUAAAAUGCAGACUGUGAAGGACCUAACAGAGACAUGUACGAUCACCAUCUGGAUCGCGUCUGCUCUCCAUGCGGCUGUGAACUUUGGGCAAUACCCUUAUGCAGGGUACCUCCCGAACCGGCCCACCCUCAGCCGUCGCUAUAUGCCUGAGGAAGG
rnacentral:lncRNA from 1 species